GAUUCUGUGGUGUGAAAGGAAUGAACAUGUUAGACAAAUAAAUGGCAAAAGACACUGAACCCAGCUCUAGCAAGACCCUCGAGAUAGGGACAACUCUCUGAGAAACUGUUCUACCACAGUGGUAAAAAGGUAUUGCUUUGGGCAACAGUGUUAACCUUAAUAUUUAUCAUCUUUCUGCAUUUAAAUGGAAUCUAUGAUAAUACAUGGAUUUGAACUUAUAUUUCAAUUGCAAAACUUUAUUAAAUAUGUCUUUAUAAGCAUACAUGCAUGAAUUAAAAUAGGGGUAGCACACCCUUUUGGAGAUGCCUCCUAGGAAAGCCACCACAGUAGCUCACAGCCAGCACUCUUUACACCGAUCCCUGCAUUUAUGCUCCCAGAAUCUAGAGCAGAAAGAUUCCACUGAUUUGGAAAUUGCAGAGCAUGUGUAAUGUUAAGCAGAAGAUGCAGCUUGCUUGUUUCUCAUCGUAGUCUUAGUGUCUAGUCACAGGAGGGUCAGGGGCUGAAAUCAUCAUGGGAAGCUGAGGUCCGAUCACCUCCUAAGGGUCUCAAGCCUUCUCUGCCCCUUUGUCUUAAUCUGUACAAAUAAAUGUGUUGAUGUAUCUCCUAUAUAUGACUGUAAUGAAUUGAAUAGGUUAACAUUUCUUAGAGAGCCACAAAAGCUAUUGAAGUAUAGAAAUAUUUAAAGAUUCAAAAGCAGCUGAGAGAUACCACUUUUCUUAUUUAAACUGAUCAGUUACUUUCACAAUUGUAUUUAUCUAUUGUUCAAGUGAAAAUACUUGUCCAGGAACCUACGAAGAAAGUGCUCAUGUGCUUUUGGAAGAGGCCAGCCUCGUGAACAAGGUUAUGGAAGCCUAGCCUGUGACAGAGACUGUCUUUCUGCAAAGCUCCUGGGAAGAUGAGGAAAGAGUUGGCGGGAAGCCCACAUCCCGGUGAUAACCACUGUCCCACAGCUACAAACCAACAGAUUCUGGCUGUGCUCUGCUGUGCCUGUCUUCUAGCUCUAUUAUUUAUUACCUGUAACUUUAAAAAUCCAUGACUGUGUAACUAA